rnacentral:tRNA from 1 species
GGAGGGUACGGCUUGGUGUUAGAGUAUGUGCUUAGCAUGCACAAAGUCCUGGGUUCAAGCCCCAGCACCUCCA